GGCUAAUGGGAGUGUUGCCUCCCACUUAAGAGAGCGACCUCCAUCACAGCCUGCACUUGAUUGGCCUACCAGAAAGAGAGUUGCAUUGGGAUCUGCAAGGGGUCUUUCUUAUUUGCAUGUUCACUGUAAUCCAAAAGUUAUUCACCGUGAUGUGAAAGCUGCAAAUAUUUUGUUGAAUGAGGAGUUUGAAGCUGUUGUUGGGGACUUUGGGCUGGCUAAAUUGAUGGGCC
rnacentral:misc_RNA from 1 species